rnacentral:rRNA from 1 species
CAACUACGUGCCAGCAGCCGCGGUAAUACGUAGGGGGCAAGCGUUAUCCGGAUUUACUGGGUGUAAAGGGAGCGUAGACGGCAGCACAAGUCUGGAGUGAAAUCCCGGGGCUUAACCCCGGAACUGCUUUGGAAACUGUGCGGCUGGAGUGCAGGAGGGGUAAGCGGAAUUCCUAGUGUAGCGGUGAAAUGCGUAGAUAUUAGGAGGAACACCGGUGGCGAAGGCGGCUUACUGGACUGUAACUGACGUUGAGGCUCGAAAGCGUGGGGAGCAAACAGGAUUAGAAACCCGAGUAGUCCACUAAG